AUGGAGUUCAGGCUCAGCUGGGUUUUCUUUCUUGCAGGUCUAAAAGGUUUUUGGUGUGAGAUGCAGCUGAUGGAGUCUGGGGGAGGCUUAGUGCAACCUGGAGGUUCUUUGACACUCUCCUGUGCAGGCUCUGGAUUUACUUUCAGUAGCUAUGACAUGGACUGGGUGCGCCAGGCUCCUGGGAAGGGGCUAGAAUGGGUAUCAGGGAUUGAUAUUGGUAAUGGUCAAUAUUAUGCAGAAUCUGUGAAGGGUAGAUUCACCAUCUCUCGAGACAAUUCUAAGAACUCCCUGUACCUUCAAAUGAACAACCUGAAAUCUGAGGACAACGCCAUGUAUUACUGUGUGAAAGAAGCACAGUGA